CCUCGGGCGGCAGCAGUGGGGAAUAUUGGACAAUGGGCGAAAGCCUGAUCCAGCCAUGCCGCGUGUGUGAAGAAGGCCUUCGGGUUGUAAAGCACUUUCAGUGGGGAAGAAAGCCUUGGGGCUAAUACCCUCGAGGAAGGACAUCACCCACAGAAGAAGCACCGGCUAACUCCGUGCCAGCAGCCGCGGUAAUACGGAGGGUGCGAGCGUUAAUCGGAAUUACUGGGCGUAAAGCGCGCGUAGGCGGUCUGAUAAGCCGGUUGUGAAAGCCCCGGGCUCAACCUGGGAACGGCAUCCGGAACUGUCAGGCUAGAGUGCAGGAGAGGAAGGUAGAAUUCCCGGUGUAGCGGUGAAAUGCGUAGAGAUCGGGAGGAAUACCAGUGGCGAAGGCGGCCUUCUGGACUGACACUGACGCUGAGGUGCGAAAGCGUGGGUAGCACACAGGAUUAGAUACCCUGGUAGUC
rnacentral:rRNA from 1 species